UGGGGAAUCUUGCGCAAUGGACGCAAGCCUGAUCCAGCCAUGCCGCGUGAGUGAAGAAGGCCUUCGGGUUGUAAAGCUCUUUUACCAGGGACGAUAAUGACGGUACCUGGAGAAUAAGCCCCGGCAAACUUCGUGCCAGCAGCCGCGGUAAUACGAAGGGGGCUAGCGUUGUUCGGAAUUACUGGGCGUAAAGCGCACAUAGGCGGAUUGUUAAGUCAGAGGUGAGAUCCCGGAGCUCAACUUCGGAACUGCCUUUGAUACUGGCAAUCUAGAGUCCGGAAGAGGUUAGUGGAAUUCCCAGUGUAGAGGUGAAAUUCGUAGAUAUUGGGAAGAACACCAGUGGCGAAGGCGGCUAACUGGUCCGGUACUGACGCUGAGGUGCGAAAGCGUGGGGAGCAAACAGGAUUAGAUACCCAGGUAGUCCCUGAGCGGGCUGGCAAGGCGCAU
rnacentral:rRNA from 1 species